rnacentral:rRNA from 1 species
UACGGGGGGGGCAAGCGUUGUUCGGAAUUACUGGGCGUAAAGGGCUCGUAGGCGGCCAACUAAGUCAGACGUGAAAUCCCUCGGCUUAACCGGGGGACUGCGUCUGAUACUGGAUGGCUUGAGGUUGGGAGAGGGAUGCGGAAUUCCAGGUGUAGCGGUGAAAUGCGUAGAUAUCUGGAGGAACACCGGUGGCGAAGGCGGCAU